rnacentral:tRNA from 1 species
GGGGAUUUAGCUCAGUGGUAGAGCACUUGCCUAGCAAGCGCAAGGCCCUGGGUUCAGUCCCCAGUCCCCC